AUUGAACGCUGGCGGCAGGCUUAACACAUGCAAGUCGAGCGGAGUGAUGGUGCUUGCACUAUCACUUAGCGGCGGACGGGUGAGUAAUGCUUAGGAAUCUGCCUAUUAGUGGGGGACAACAUCUCGAAAGGGAUGCUAAUACCGCAUACGUCCUACGGGAGAAAGCAGGGGAUCACUUGUGACCUUGCGCUAAUAGAUGAGCCUAAGUCGGAUUAGCUAGUUGGUGGGGUAAAGGCCUACCAAGGCGACGAUCUGUAGCGGGUCUGAGAGGAUGAUCCGCCACACUGGGACUGAGACACGGCCCAGACUCCUACGGGAGGCAGCAGUGGGGAAUAUCGGACAAUGGGGGGAACCCUGAUCCAGCCAUGCCGCGUGUGUGAAGAAGGCCUUAUGGUUGUAAAGCACUUUAAGCGAGGAGGAGGCUUACCUAGUUAAUACCUGGGAUAAGUGGACGUUACUCGCAGUAUAAGCACCGGCUAACUCUGUGCCAGCCGCCGCAGUAA
rnacentral:rRNA from 1 species